CAACUCUGAAAUAAAUAAAUAAAUAAAUGUCUCUCCUGAGUGUGUAAUUAUUGGCUUAUUGCACACCGGGCAACGAAUCCGCUUUUCGGACCACAGUUUUCUGGCGACCCAGGUGGGACCCUCGCUGUAAAGCCUUGCCCGGAUCGUCUUGCCAGUUCCGGCAGGGAGACACUGCUCAUCAGACUCCAGCGCGCACCGACCGUUUUGUUUGGGGACUCCGUGAGCACCCUCCCUAGUCGGAACAGGUACAUCCAGUUAAGAUCUCCUGUACUUUUAGAUUCACCUGUACAUUCAUUCCAGCCGGGAGAUCAAGUGUAUCUUCGGACCUGGAAGGAUGAGCCAUUGGUAGAAAAGUGGAGAGGACCGUAUCUUGUACUGCUAACAACAAAUACUGCUGUGAAACUGCAGGGAAUUGAUUCCUGGAUCCACUACACCCGAGUGAAAGCAGUACCUCGAGAGACGUGGAAAGCUGAACAAGUUCAACCUUUAAAGUUAAAAAUAUAUAAAGAUAUAUGAGUUGUACUGGAAGCGAAUCGGUUUUAAAUUUAGAUUGUAUUCAGGGAAGAAUUGCUUUAAUCUGUUUGUUAGGAAUAGGGUUAAUAUUGUUGUUAUGGUAUCUGUGUAAAAAUGAUGUUCUCCUUAAUAACCAGGGGAGAAAUGUGGUGGUUAGCUUUUCUAGGUUACCUGAGCCAAACAAUUAAAGGGAAUCAGGAAGGAUUUUGGAAUCACAAUCUCCAUUUGGAAGUAAUUAUGGAGCAGAUCGACCUACUAAGUUUCAGUCAUUUGUAAGAUGACUGUUUCCACAAUUGGGAGUGAGUGAACUCGAAAAAGCAAUAGUAAAUAUUUCAGCAGUUAUGGAGAAAAUAGGGAAUAAAACCUCUGAUACCAUUGCAGCUUUACAAGAGGAGGUUUCAGAAAUUGCUAAAAUAAGUACCCAAAACAGGAUGGCUCUAGAUAUGUUAUUGGCAUCUCAGGGAGGAGUAUGUACAGUAAUAAACACUAGUUGCUGUGUAUAUGUGGAUCAAAGUGGGAGAAUUUCUACCGAUCUAAAUGAAAUCUGGAAGCAGACUGAAAUCUUACAUGGGGUUCAGAAAGAUGAUACUUCUUUCGGAUUUGAAGAAACAUGGAAAUGGUUGACUUCCUGGUUCCCUGAUGUGAGCUCAUGGGUUAAAAAAUGUUUAACAAUUUUGGGAAUGGUGUUAGUAGUUUUUGUAUGCGUUUAUGUAGUGAUUCAAUGCAUUUCUAAGUGUUUUACAAAAUUAAUAUGGGAAAGAUUUUAAAAGAGUGAGACUAAUAUGAAAAUGAUCAUAUAAGUCUCAAAGGGGGGAAUUGUUACAAGACAACCCUGAGAAGCUCAGAAAGAAUGUUUGAAGUAGGCAGAUUUGGAUAACUUCUAUCUUAGGCAGAAUUUGCUUAGCAUGAGUAGCCGCACACUUGCUUAGCAUGAGUAGCUAAAUUUGCUGAAGCCUUAGGCCACGCUCCUAGUUCGGUAAGAAAGGGCCUCAGAGCUGGUGCAGGCUGGAAAGAUAAGGGAGUUACAAGCAGUCUGCAUUCCUGUGCCCCACUCUCCGAAAGGGAGGAUGCCAAGGCUGUGAAAUAAGGCCUGUUUGGGCGCCAGGACCUUGGGAAGCGAAGCUUCCUCUCACUGUUGAAACAGUGAUGAUUAAGGGGUCUGGAUUAUGUCUUCUUCCUCAGGGCCUUGGGAGAUAACACCUAUUGACCCAGGUGGGGCAGUGUUAAUUGACCAGGUCCUUGAGAAGCAGGGGUGGGAUCCAGGGAAUGAAGAAAUCACUAGCCAAUCAGUGUAAAAGGGAAAGUCGUAAAUCUGGCAAUUUGUGUGUAUAAAUGCUACUUGAAAAGUUGGGGGGGUGUGCUUCAUUUGUGGGAAACCACCGAGCACCCAGGCUUGCGCAACUCUGAAAUAAAUAAAUAAAUGUCUC